rnacentral:misc_RNA from 1 species
UUGAUUCAUUUGCUUGUACGCCGAGAUUCUCUGACAAGAGGGUUUGGGGUCCUCCGGCGGGCGCCGGGUCCGGGCCGAAGCGCCGGGCCGGUCCCGCCGAGGCAACAAAAUGGUUCACAGGGGUUUGGAGUUGUGACUCGGUAAUGAUCCCUCCGCUGGUUCACCAACGAAGA